GCUAAUCUCAAUGUUUGUUUCUCUCUCUCUAUAUAUAUAUAUAUAUAAAAUGCAAUGUUUAUUUGUCUGUCUGUUGUUUGUACUGCAAAGGGUCUUACACCAUUUGAUUUUGGAACCAAACUUUGCAGAGUGGACUUCACAUGAUCCUUCCAGUAACAUAGAUAAUUCAAAACCUCAUGCACCCAAGGAAUGGGGCAUACUGAAGUUGCUCUCUAUCUAUCUGUUCUAUAUAGGCUCUUAUACUGUUUGAUUUAUCAGGACCAACCUUUGCAAGAAAAUUUCCUAUGAUUCUACUUUUUUUUUCAUUUAAAAAGAUAGUGAGCAUACUCAGAAGUUUUUUCCCUUUGAAGAAUGAAGGAAGAAAUGGAAAGAAUAUAGAAAAGCAUGAGGAAAGAGGAAAAAGGAUCCUGCUAGAAGUGUGGCAAGAUACUAAUGGAAAAGAGAGGGCACCUUUUAAUCACCUCUUAUGACUUCAUGAAUUCUAUCCCUACUCAUAGGGGACCCAUAAUUCUAUGGGUUACAUAGGGUACCCAAAAUAAAAAUCACUUUGGAAGUGGGAGAUAUUAGGAUUAUUCUUUCUAUCUCUCUGUUUGCAUAGGUGAUCCACCAUAUUUAUUUUUAAUAAUAAUCAUCUUACUGAUUCUUUCAAUUUUUUUU
rnacentral:lncRNA from 1 species